GAGUUUGAUCAUGGCUCAGAUUGAACGCUGGCGGAAUGCUUUACACAUGCAAGUCGAACGGCAGCACGGGGGCAACCCUGGUGGCGAGUGGCGAACGGGUGAGUAACACAUCGGAACGUGCCCAAUCGUGGGGGAUAACGUAGCGAAAGCUACGCUAAUACCGCAUACGAUCUACGGAUGAAAGCGGGGGGUCGCAAGACCUCGCGCGAAUGGAGCGGCCGAUGGCAGAUUAGGUAGUUGGUGGGGUAAAGGCUCACCAAGCCAACGAUCUGUAGCUGGUCUGAGAGGACGACCAGCCACACUGGGACUGAGACACGGCCCAGACUCCUACGGGAGGCAGCAGUGGGGAAUUUUGGACAAUGGGCGCAAGCCUGAUCCAGCCAUUCCGCGUGCAGGAUGAAGGCCUUCGGGUUGUAAACUGCUUUUGUACGGAACGAAACGGCCUUUUCUAAUACAGAGGGCUAAUGACGGUACCGUAAGAAUAAGCGCCGGCUAACUACGUGCCAGCAGCCGCGGU
rnacentral:rRNA from 1 species